UCAAGCUACAAAGAGCGUAAGGGGAAUGCCUUGGCACCAGGAGCCGACGAAGGACGCAGCGAUCUGCGAAAAGCCACGGGGAGCCGAAAGCAGGCUUUGAUCCGUGGAUAUCCGAAUGGGGAAACCCGCAUGGUUAAUAGCCAUGCGACGUAUACUGAAUAAAUAGGUAUGCGUCGGGAACCGUCUGAACUGAAACAUCUAAGUAGGACGAGGAAAAGAAAUCAACCGAGAUUCCGCUAGUAGUGGCGAGCGAACGCGGAAGAGGCCAAACCAAGAGUAGUAAUACUUUUGGGGUUUUGGACAGCGUACGGUAUUAACUGCGGUUAGUAGAAUGAAAUGGGAAGUUCAACCACAGAGCGUGAUAGUCGCGUACACGAAAACUAAGGUUAGCCAGCUGGAUCCAGAGUACCGCCGGACACGUGAAACCCGGUGGGAAGACGGGGGGACCACCCUCCAAGCCUAAAUACUCUCCAAUGACCGAUAGUGUAUAGUACUGUGAAGGAAAGGUGAAAAGAACCCCUGGCGGGGAGUGAAAUAGAACCUGAAACCUUGUGCCUACAAGCACAUAGAGCGCGUCAAUGCGUGAUAUGGUACCUUUUGUAGAAUGGUCCGGCGAGUGAAUGUCACUGGCAAGGUUAAGCUCUUCAGGAGUGCAGCCGAAGCGAAAGCGAGUCUGAAAUGGGCGUAUUUAGUCAGUGGUAUUCGACCCGAAACCGGGUGACCUAGCCAUGAGCAGGCUGAAGUGGAGGUAAAACUCCAUGGAGGGCCGAACCCACUCCCGUUGAAAUGGUAGGGGAUGACUUGUGGCUAGCGGAGAAAUUCCAAUCGAACCCGGAGAUAGCUGGUUCUCUCCGAAAUAGCUUUAGGGCUAGCCUCAAUUAACAUUACCGCAGGUAAAGCACUGAAUGAGCUAGGGGGCGAAAGCUUACUGAACUCUAUCAAACUCAGAAUGGCGGAUAAUGAAUGAUUGGGAGUCACACUACGUGAGAUAAGUUUCGUGGUGGAAAGGGAAACAGCCCAGACCCACAGCUAAGGUCCCAAAGUACAGUUAAGUGGAAAAGGAUGUGAAAUUGCGCAGACAACCAGGAUGUUGGCUCAGAAGCAGCCACUCAUUCAAAGAGUGCGUAAUAGCUCACUGGUCGAGUGAUUUUGCGCCGAAAAUUUAACGGGGCUAAACUGUACACCGAAGCUUGGGAAUAUACAUUUGUAUGUUGGUAGGAGAGCGUUGUGUAAGGGGUGAAGUCGUAGCGAAAGCGGCGGUGGACUUUACACAAGUGAGAAUGCCGGAAUGAGUAGCGAGAAUUAUGUGAGAAUCAUAAUGGCCGAAAGACUAAGGUUUUAGAAGGAAGGUUCGUCCGCUUCUAGUUAGCCGGGAGCUAAGGCGAGGCCGAGAGGCGUAGUCGAUGCACAUACGGUUGAGAUUCCGUAGCUACCUUGCAUUUAAGCGAAGGGACACAUUUGAAGGGCAUGACCCGGGCGUUGGUUGACCCGGGCGUAAGGGACCGAAAAUAAGUAGGGAAGCAUGCUUGGAUGGUGGCGAGAAAAGCUUCGUGUAUAUAAGCAGGGUACCCGUACUGCAAACCGACACAGGUAGUCAGGAAGAGGAUUCUAAGGCCAUCGGGAGAAGCGUUGUUAAGGAACUCGGCAAAUUGACCCCGUAACUUCGGAAUAAGGGGUGCUCACGCGAGUGAGCCGCAGUGAAUAGGUCCAGGCAACUGUUUAUCAAAAACACAGCUCUCUGCUAAAUCGUAAGAUGACGUAUAGGGGGUGACACCUGCCCGGUGCUGGAAGGUUAAGAGGAGGGGUGCAAGCUCCGAAUUGAAGCCCCAGUAAACGGCGGCCGUAACUAUNACGGUCCCUAGGUAGCGAAAUUCCUUGUCGGGGGUAGUCCGACCCGCACGAAUGGUGUAAUGAUCUGGACACUGUCUCAAACACGCACCNNGCGAAAUUGUAGUACCGGUGAAGAUGCC
rnacentral:rRNA from 1 species